GACGAACGCUGGCGGCGUGCUUAACACAUGCAAGUCGAACGGAAAGGCCUGCUUUCCCUUGUGGAUUGCGGGUACUCGAGUGGCGAACGGGUGAGUAACACGUGAGUGAUCUGCCCCCAACUUGGGUAUAAGCCUGGGAAACUGGGUCUAAUUCCCGAUAGGACUGCAGGGUGGUGCCUCUGGUGGAAAACGAUUUUCUAGUGGUUGGGGAUGAGCUCGCGGCCUAUCAGCUUGUUGGUGGGGUAAUGGCCUACCAAGGCGGCGACGGGUAGCCGGCCUGAGAGGGUGGACGGCCACAUUGGGACUGAGAUACGGCCCAGACUCCUACGGGAGGCAGCAGUGGGGAAUAUUGCACAAUGGGCGGAAGCCUGAUGCAGCGACGCCGCGUGGGGGAUGACGGCCUUCGGGUUGUAAACUCCUUUCGACCGCGAGGAAGCCACCUGGUUGGAAGGGUGGUGACGGUAGUGGUAGAAGAAGCACCGGCUAACUACGUG
rnacentral:rRNA from 1 species